ACGGGAUACAAGGGGAAUUAAAUUACUGGAUACAAAAUUUUCUUAGCAAUCGCAAACAGGCAGUAGUUCUAGAGGGGGAAAAAUCUGAGUAUGUUGCAGUUGAGUCAGGGGUUCCACAGGGGUCAGUUCUUGGACCAAGUCUCUUCUUGUACUAUAUAAAUGACAUUCCAACUGGUCUAACAUCUACAGUACGUUUAUUUGCAGACGACACAAUAGUUUAUUUGGCAAUAAAAUCAAACUCCGAUGCAUUAACAUUACAAAAAGAUCUAGACAAACUGGCAUCGUGGGAAACUACUUGGAAAAUGGCAUUCCACCCAGAUAAGUGUAAUGUAAUUUCAGUCACCAGAAAUAAAAAAAACCAAUCACAUUUAACUACACAUUACACAAUCAUUCAUUAGAACAUGUAACAACAGCAAAAUAUCUGGGGGUCACCAUCAGUUCCAAC
rnacentral:lncRNA from 1 species